AAUAAAGGGAAACAAUGAAAAGUCGCUCCUGCCUCCUAUCUCGGUCUCCCACACAAUUGACGAACAGAAACGUCGCACAGAGAGAAGAAAUAAUGAACGACGGGUUUGCAGGUUGGAAAUCACGCUGUCCUAGCCUCAAUCGUCGCCUGAAUCGUUGCCUGAAUCGUCGAUUGGUUACAGAGAAUCAGAGAUAUGAAAUAGUUAAUUGUCUGACUAAAGUUGAAGGAGUAUCGGAUGAUAAUUUCCGGACAAGGAAACCAAAGAGUCGGCCGAGGUGUGCCGAAUUUCUGGCUUACUGCAAUGAAGUCAAAUGAAGUUCUAGCUGAUGAGGUGAUUGCCGGUCCCAAGCCCAGAUAAAGGAGGAGGGUUUUGUUACUAAAUAUGUUGAAAAUGUUAAUUUUGCAAAAGGGCCACCACUUCGUAGUUCGAUUAGGGCCUCCGAAAACAUAGGAACGGCUCUGGUAAAAAACCAUCCCAGUUUGCUAUAGAAAAAAUCUUUAGCGUAUUUAUUAAUUAUUUGUUAAGAAUUAGCUAUGGAUAACUUUCUUAUAGUUUAGUUAUGUGCAUAUAUUCGUUAUAUGAAUUUUGUAGCAAAAUCUAGAAAUAAAUAUUGAGAAAUAUAACUGAAAA